AAUGAUAUAACUUAAUUAGGUAAAGUGAAUAAUUGCAAAUUAUUUUAUUUCAGUUCAAAUCUGAAUAUCAUUU
rnacentral:tRNA from 2 species